rfam:Oryza glumipatula chromosome 12, whole genome shotgun sequence.
ACUAUCUCCGUCCUAGGAAGACCGCAGUCUAACAUUUGACCGUCCGUAUUAUUUGAAAAAAAAUUAUGAUUAGUAUUUUUAUUGUUAUUAGAUGAUAAAACAUGGACUAAUUUUUUUAAUUUUUUCAUAAAAUAUUAAAUAAGAUGAUCGGUCAAACGUGGACAUAAAAAUCUACAACUACACUUAAA